rnacentral:rRNA from 1 species
CCUACGGGAGGCAGCAGUGGGGAAUAUUGGGCAAUGGGCGCAAGCCUGACCCAGCAACGCCGCGUGAAGGAAGAAGGCUUUCGGGUUGUAAACUUCUUUUGUCAGGGAAGAGUAGAAGACGGUACCUGACGAAUAAGCCACGGCUAACUACGUGCCAGCAGCCGCGGUAAUACGUAGGUGGCAAGCGUUGUCCGGAUUUACGGGGUGAAAAGGGCGUGUAGCCGGGUUGACAAGUCAGAGGUGAAAUCCUGCGGCUUAACCGCAGAACUGCAUUUGAAACUGUUGAUCUUGAGUACUGGAGAGGCAGAAGGAAUUCCUGGGGUAGCGGUGAAAUGGGUAGAUAUUAGGAGGAAAACCAGUGGCGAAGGCGGUCUGCUGGACAGCAACUGACGGUGAGGCGCGAAAGCGUGGGGAGCAAACAGGAUUAGAUACCCAUGUAGU